CCAAAAACUAAUAUAUUUACAUUUGGAAAUGUUGCUGUGACGCCUUCUGUUCAGGUGCCUCAUGACUACAUUCUCCUCUAAAGGCUGGUCUUCCUGAUCAGACUACAUCUCCCAUGAUGCACCACAGUCUCUCUUCUUGGACAUGGAAAGCAGUGCAUCAUGGGAAUUCCUGACCAGGAUGUAUCCAGAUGAAGUCGAGACAGAGAGUUACCGCACUGAUUUCUGCCUGGAAGGCCGUGACCUUGUUUCAGGUGAAAUACACACUGAGAGAUCAGAAUCUGAACUUGUCACACCUCUGCAAAUCAGGAUUAGCUCCACUGUGCUCAAUGGAGAUAGACCAGUGUAAAGCUGGAGUAAGCGAGAUGAGAAUCAGUCCCUUGGUAUUUGGAAGGUGCUGAUGCAUAAGUAAGGCAUAAUACAUGAAGGAGUAGCAUUUCUCUGCUGUGAAAAUUGACUGCAGCUUGUCAAGCCCAAGCCACAGCACUAAAGUGUUGCUCCUGUGACAAGCUAUUCCCUCUGACUAAAAAAAAAAAAAAAAGUGGGAACAAUGUAUUAGACAGGCUUACCUUUGUCAUUGGAGUCAUAUGGGGACGCUGGCUAUGGUGCAUGGGAAGUUCCCAGGAGACUUCCCAUUAUUGUGAUGUGUGCUAGUUCUUGAAAACCAUUACAAAGGUGCACCCCACCGAUUGAACAGUUUGAUUGCAUCAGUAACUGACUACCAUUUAUAUUACAGAAAUACCCCUGAUAAGAAGCACGAAACCAGAGCAACCUAAUUAGAGAGCAUUUCAGCCUUCUGGAUCUCAGCCCUGCUGAUCUCCUAAUUUUCUCUGAAAAUUACAUCUCCAGAAACCCAGGAAUGUAUCUGAACAGGAACCCUUGCCACAAAUGACAUUAGAACAAUAGUUCCCCUUGGUUUAAGCCUGUUGAGAAGAUGUAUUUCUGUAAUGAUGCAAAGUUCCUAGGACUGUUCCUGAGUUGUAUUUCCAGACUAAGGUCAUUUGUGGUAAGGAGGGGGGCAUGCUUGGGGGGGCAUUUUAUAGCUGAGGGAAGGGCAUUGGUCAAGUCCUUGGGGAAGCAGGCAGGCCUUGUCAAUGAGUGCAGCCUGCAGAUAUGUGGCCUGAAUCUUCUAACUGGUCACAGCAGCAAACCGGGGGGGUUCAUUUAUACUUACUAGCAGCACAUCCGAUAGUUCCACAUCUGAAGUAAAUGAGCUUUACCAAAAUGUGGCUGGAAGGUGAAAACCAGGAUCCUGGGGUAACACAGUUUAAUUCCCAUAAGUACCCUGCUUUGGCAAGAGAAACAGAAAGUUGCACCAAAUCCUUUAGAUCCUAUUUACAGAAGUGACAUAAGCAUGUGGGAGGGGGUUGUCAGACACCUAAUUCCCAACAAGUGGGAGUUAGGCACUUAAUUCACAAAAACUUUAAUUGCUUUUUAAAGUCCCACCUUUAGGAGCCUAGGUCCCAUGGACUUCCAAGGAAAUUUAGGCGCCUCAGGGCUGGAAUUACAAAGGUAUUUGGAUGCCUAAAGAUGGGAGUUGGAAUUUUCAAAAGUGCCUAAUCAAGUUAAGUGCCUCUCUUAUCUUUAGGCACCUAAAUACUGUUGAAAAUCUGCCCCAAUCACUUGGACUUAGGGUCCUAAAUCCUAUGGGUGCAUUUGAAAAUUUUACCCACAAAUAGACUGUUUUAUGUAAAGUUGAACAUCUAGAAAGGCUGCAUGAUCCAGUGAAUAGGGUAUUGUCCUGGGAUUCAGAAAGCUGGAUUCUAUUCUUAGCUCUAUCACUGAUCAGGUGUAUGUCCUUAAGCAAGUCUCUGUGCCUGUUUCCUUUCCCACCAUUUGCCUGUUUUGUCAAUUUAGAUUGUAAAAGCUACAGGACAGGGACUCUCUCACUUAAUCUAUGUACACUGCCAAAUACAAUAGAGAUCUCAUUUGGGAUCUCUGAGCAUCAUAACUAUAAGUCAACUUUUUCUUUCCAAUAGUUAAAGUCAUUUGCAGCCAACAGUCUAAAACACAAACAUGCUUCUUCUAAACCCAUAGUUGCCACUCUCUUUGACUGCUGAAGUUUCAUUGCUCCCUAUACCCUCUUCUCCUUUGUCAUCUAUACCUCAUGAUGUUAGCCCAGUGCACUCUGCAAGAUUUGCACAGACUCUAAGCUGCACUGAAA